UACGAAGGGUGCAAACGUUGCUCGGAAUUAUUGGGCGUAAAGCGCACGUAGGCGGCUUAGCAAGUCGGAAGUGAAAGCCCUUGGCUCAACCAAGGAAGUGCUUUCGAAACUGCUGAGCUUGAGUAGUUAAGAGGAUCGCGGAAUUCCCGGUGUAGAGGUGAAAUUCGUAGAUAUCGGGAGGAACACCAGUGGCGAAGGCGGCGAUCUGGGAACAUACUGACGCUGAGGCACGAAAGCGUGGGGAGCAAACAGG
rnacentral:rRNA from 1 species